rnacentral:snRNA from 1 species
AUAAGUACUGGCCUUUUGGGCUAAGAUCAGGUAUAGCAGUUAUAGGGUGAGGUCUGUCCAUUGUACUCCAGGUUGGUUGACCCCUAUGAUUCUCUACAAAUAUGGGGAUCUCAGUUGCACAAUUUUGUGGUAAUGUGGGGCUGUGUUUGUUCUUUGCCUCU